GGAAGUGUGUCUGAGCGGCCGAAAGAGCAGGACUUGAAAUCCUGUGUGUUAGCAAUAGCACCCUGGGUUCGAAUCCCAGCGCUUCCG
rnacentral:tRNA from 1 species